rnacentral:rRNA from 1 species
GAUGAACGCUGGCGGCGUGCCUAAUACAUGCAAGUCGAGCGAACAGACGAGGAGCUUGCUCCUCUGACGUUAGCGGCGGACGGGUGAGUAACACGUGGAUAACCUACCUAUAAGACUGGGAUAACUUCGGGAAACCGGAGCUAAUACCGGAUAAUAUAUUGAACCGCAUGGUUCAAUAGUGAAAGACGGUUUUGCUGUCACUUAUAGAUGGAUCCGCGCCGCAUUAGCUAGUUGGUAAGGUAACGGCUUACCAAGGCAACGAUGCGUAGCCGACCUGAGAGGGUGAUCGGCCACACUGGAACUGAGACACGGUCAAGACUCCUACGGGAGGCAGCAGUAGGGAAUCUUACGCAAUGGGCGAAAGCUUGACGGAGCAACGCCGCGUGAGUGAUGAAGGUCUUCGGAUCGUAAAACUCUGUUAUUAGGGAAGAACAAAUGUGUAAGUAACUAUGCACGUAUUGACGGUACCUAAUCAGAAAGCCACGGCUAACUACGUG